UACCACUUUGUGGUUCAUGACUGGGGUGAAGUCGUAACAAGGUAGCGCUAGGGGAACCUGGCGCUGGAUCACCUCCUUAAACGAUGAU
rnacentral:rRNA from 2 species